UUUGUCCCUCACAGUGAAAGGGGUUUAACCAAUAGAUGCACAGAAUCUGUCAUCCUAUCGGAAGUCUCACCUCCUCUCUGUGCUCACCAGGCUCCUGUCUUUCAUCAUCGGCUUGUUCCUCCUGAGAGUCCCGAAUGAAGGGUGAUGCUGGUCCCUAGGAUGAUGGUGACACCCCUGCUGAUCCCACUGUCCCUGUGUGUAUGGAGGGGACAGGCUCAGACUGACAGUACAUCCUCAGAUGAGAGCAGCAGAGCUUACACUGUGCUACUGAAACAGAAUAUGGUUCUGCUGGGCAGCAUCCUCUCCAUCCUGUUUAUUGCAAUGAUCCUGCUGGCUGUGUGUGUGUACAAACCCAUCAGGCGGAGAUAAUAACAGUGGCACCUAGACUUGGACUAGAGCACUGGCAUCAGGAUACCCUUCAUACAGAUACAGGGCAUAUACUGUAUCCUGUCACCUGGAAUAACAUGGCUUGAACUGCCAUUCAACUUGCUGCUAAUAUCUCUUCCAUAAUCCUCCACUUUUUCCUUGGACAUGCUGUACCUCAAAGCAUCAUUUCUGCAUUUAUUUAAGUUCUAAAUCCUUGCGUUUGUAUUUUUGCUUUACAAUAACAUACUGUAUUUCAUUCCAUUAUUGUUGAUCUGUUACGAUUCAAGUUUUCAGUCUGAUACAGUUUAUGGAGAUGACCAGAUGAAUGUAGUGCAGCACUCAGGCCUGUGUCAUAUGAAGCGAGGCCCAAUGUGUUUUAUUGUUGUAGAAAAUAACAGGUUUAUUGUGGCUCUACAAUAAACGAAUAAAGCCGUUCCUUCCUCAGGGACAUUCUCCUGUGCACUGAUAUAAUACGCACUGGGACAUCAGAGGUAUACACGUGGAUUCUCUCUGUAUUAAAUGUACAUUUUGUUUUUUA